rnacentral:rRNA from 1 species
UACCGCGGCUGCUGGCACGUAGUUAGCCGGGGCUUUCUCGUUAGGUACCGUCACCGUACCGCCCUAUUCGAACGGUACUUCUUCUUCCCUAACAACAGAGCUUUACGAUCCGAAGACCUUCUUCGCUCACGCGGCGUCGCUCCGUCAGACUUUCGUCCAUUGCGGAAGAUUCCCUACUGCUGCCUCCCGUUAGGAGU